rnacentral:rRNA from 1 species
AUUGAACGCUGGCGGCAGGCCUAACACAUGCAAGUCGAACGAGCGGCGGACGGGUGAGUAAUGUAUGGGAAACUGCCUGAUGGAGGGGGAUAACUACUGGAAACGGUAGCUAAUACCGCAUACCAUCGGAUGUACCCAGAUGGGAUUAGCUAGUAGGUGGGGUAAAGGCUCACCUAGGCGACGCUCCCUAGCUGGUCUGAGAGGAUGACCAGCCACACUGGGACUGAGACACGGCCCAGACUCCUACGGGAGGCAGCAGUUGGGAAUAUUGCACAAUGGGCUCAAGCCUGAUGCAGCCAUGCCGCGUGUAUGAAGAAGGCCUUAGGGUUGUAAAGUACUUUCAGCGGGGAGGCGUUACCCGCAGAAGAAGCACCGGCUAACUCCGUGCCAGCAGCCGCGGUAAUUC